rnacentral:lncRNA from 1 species
UGUGUGUGUGUGUGUGUAAUCUUAACUACCAUAUUAGGAAAGUUUUAAUUGUGUGUCAUACCCAUUUGAUAAGAUCACACAUGAUUGAACCGGCUGUAAUGUGGUACCUAACAUUGGUUCCAAAUUUUGCUUAUCUGCACUUACAGUUUGGUGUACAUCUUCGCACUGUGUCUGAGAGCAGUGUCCAUUGACGUCUACAAGUGGAUAUUUUUCUAAAUCGGCCUUUAUUGAGCAAACGCCUGAGUCAUGGGGACUUGAACCAUAGAUUUCGUUAGACGUAGCAUACCAUCCCUGUAAAUCAUGAAGCUCAUCUGCUGGUAUUCUCUUCCACCUCAAUAUUAACCAUGCCGAAUAGGUUUUGUAAAAUUAUUGGCCAAACAUCUAGAAUAUCCGAUCGAUUUUACUUAUGAUUAGGCCAUUAUAUAUAGACACAAACAUCAUCUUAAAUGUAGCAGUGAUCUGGUUAGGUAUAGACAAUAGGUUUGAAUUCACAUCAUAAAGGGAUUACCGCAAAGCAUUUUGUUUGAUGCUCUGCCGAUUAUAACCCCCCACACACACUGCUUUUCUAAUAUUACUAAAACUGAGAUAACGAGUGUGUCUGUGGUCUCUAGAAAUAGAAACUAAAUCUUUAUCAAAUCAUAAAAAAGAAGGAAACCUUGGGUAUUGAAAAUCUUGAUGUACUAUGUCUGACAAAAAAUUAUGGAAUAUUCACUAUUCACAAAGCAACAACAAAAUGUUUAAUAAUGUCUGUUGUUUCACUUCAAAUAUAUUCCUUUGAAGACUGGAUCUUCGCAUUUGCUUGUGACUAACAUUUCAGAGUAUAACGUCUGUUAACUUCACUUCAAUUUUUCCCCACUGUCCAAAUCCAAAGACAUUGCAAUUGAGAGGUGUCAACCGACUCAAUUCACCUUGCUUACAUUGAUGUCUAUAAAUAAAUCCCGUCUCCUAAAAGAAAAAGAAAAAAAAGAUGGAGAAAGAACGACAACAAAUGAGAAUAAAAUCUUUAGUAAAAUAAACAACAGAAUAAACAAGCAAACAAUGAAGAAAACAAUCAACAAGUGACCAGCAUUAGAAAGAACAACAAUGAUGAUGAGGCUGAUGAUGAUGACAAUGAUUUCUUUAAUUGGUCACAAGUGCUCAAGAUAUUGCGGAGAAUAUAAACAGACAAAAUACAACACAUUAAAGCUGUUCAAGAAGGAAAACAACAAUUUACUGUUAUUUCAAAGAGACCACUACAGUUUCUUGGUGCCUGGGUAACUUGUGUUUCUAAGAUGCCAGCACUUGGCAAAGUUGUCAAUCAACCUGUAGAGUGUACAGUUAAGUGCAUUUCAAGAAUUUGGAAAAGUUUAAUAAUUGAGUUGAUGACUAAGGAUGGGAUUUGAACUCAGAAUGCAUAGAGCCAGAACAGAAACAAGCUAUCCGAUGCUAUAACAGUUCUUUCAACCCACAACUCUGAACUAGUACUUAUUUUAUUGAUCUCUAAAGUA